rnacentral:rRNA from 1 species
GACGAACGCUGGCGGCGUGCCUAAUACAUGCAAGUAGAACGCUGAAGAGAGGAGCUUGCUCUUCUUGGAUGAGUUGCGAACGGGUGAGUAACGCGUAGGUAACCUGCCUUGUAGCGGGGGAUAACUAUUGGAAACGAUAGCUAAUACCGCAUAACAAUGGAUGACACAUGUCAUUUAUUUGAAAGGGGCAAUUGCUCCACUACAAGAUGGACCUGCGUUGUAUUAGCUAGUAGGUGAGGUAAUGGCUCACCUAGGCGACGAUACAUAGCCGACCUGAGAGGGUGAUCGGCCACACUGGGACUGAGACACGGCCCAGACUCCUACGGGAGGCAGCAGUAGGGAAUCUUCGGCAAUGGGGGCAACCCUGACCGAGCAACGCCGCGCGAGUGAAGAAGGGUUUCGGAUCGUAAAGCUCUGUUGUAAGUCAAGAACGGGUGUGAGAGUGGAAAGUUCACACUGUGACGGUAGCUUACCAGAAAGGGACGGCUAACUACGUG